rnacentral:lncRNA from 1 species
AAACUUGUAAACAAAUAUAAUCAUAUUGGCUAAAAAUUUCAAAAGACAAAAAGAACUAACAACUCCAUUCAAAUCUUUGGCCCCUUUGUGCCCUUCUCAGUUAAACUUUUGUUAAAAGCAACUCACCAACUUUGAAAUUUUUACCAUGAACUACGAGAUUUUGAUCCCUCAUUUUUAUGUUGGUACGUAGGCGCAAGACCGAAGGUCUUGUCAAACACAAAAAUAUAAUCAAUGAAUUAUUUUCUUA